rnacentral:rRNA from 1 species
AACUACGUGCCAGCAGCCGCGGUAAUACGUAGUGGGCGAGCGUUGUCCGGAAUACUGGGCGUAAAGGGUGUGCAGGCGGAUAUUUAAGUGAGAUGUGAAAGACCCCGGCUUAACCCCGGGCAGUGCAUUUCAAACUGGAUAUCUAGAGUGCAGGAGAGGAGAACGGAAUUCNUAGUGUAGCGGUGAAAUGCGUAGAGAUUAGGAAGAACACCAGUGGCGAAGGCGGUUCUCUGGACUGUAACUGACGCUGAGGCACGAAAGCGUGGGUAGCAAACAGGAUUAGAUACCCUGGUAGUCCAUGCCGUAAACGAUGAGUGCUAGGUGUUGGUGGGGACACCCAUCAGUGCCGCAGCUAACGCAUUAAGCACUCCGCCUGGGGAGUACGGUCGCAAGACUGAAACUCAAAGGAAUUGACGGGGACCCGCACAAGCAGCGGAGCAUGUGGUUUAAUUCGACGCAACGCGAAGAACCUUACCAGGGCUUGACAUCCCUCUGACCGGAUUAGAGAUAGUCCCUUACCUUCGGGUACAGAGGAGACAGGUGGUGCAUGGUUGUCGUCAGCUCGUGUCGUGAGAUGUUGGGUUAAGUCCCGCAACGAGCGCAACCCUUGCCUUUAGUUGCCAUCAGGUAAAGCUGGGCACUCUAGAGGGACUGCCGGUGACAAACCGGAGGAAGGUGGGGAUGACGUCAAAUCAUCAUGCCCCUUAUGUCCUGGGCUACACACGUGCUACAAUGGUCGGUACAACGGGAAGCGAGACUGCGAAGUUAAGCAAAUCCCAAUAAGCCGAUCCCAGUUCGGAUUGUAGGCUGCAACUCGCCUACAUGAAGUCGGAGUUGCUAGUAAUCGCGAAUCAGAACGUCGCGGUGAAUGCGUUCCCGGGUCUUGUACACACCGCCCGUCACACCAUGAGAGUCGGUAACACCCGAAGCCAGUGAGCUAACCUUUGGAGGCAGCUGUCGAAGGUGGGAUCGAUGAUUGGGGUGAAGUCGUAACAAGGUAGCCG